GGCCAGUUGGCUCAGUGGGUUAGAGUGUGGUGCUCAUAACACCAAGGUCGCCGGUUCGAUUCCCACAUGGGCCA